rnacentral:snRNA from 1 species
GGAUGUGAGGGCGAUCUGGCUGCGACAUCUGUCACCCCAUUGAUCACCAGGGCUGAUUCUGCUGAUCUGGCUGGCUAGGCGGGUGUCCCCUUCCUCCCUCACCUCUCCAUGUGUGUCCCUCCCGAAGCCGUGCGCUCGGUCGAAGAGGACGACCUUCCCUGCUAGAGGAGGACUGGUCUUCGGUCAAGGGUAUACAAGUAGCUGCGCUCCCCUGCUAGAACCUCCAAACAAGCUCUCAAAUAAACAAAUACUUGUAAAAAUAUGAAAUGUUGGGGGCCGGCGCUCUGAUAUAGCAGGCAAAGCCACCGCCUGCAGUGUCGGCAUCCCAUAUGAGUGCUGGU